rnacentral:tRNA from 1 species
GGGCUUGUGGUGUAGUGGUAACAUGUUCGCUUCGCAUGCGAAAGAUCUCGGGUUCGAUUCCCGACGAGUCCA